UACGGAGGAUGCAAGCGUUAUCCGGAAUGAUUGGGCGUAAAGCGUCCGCAGGCGGCAGUUCAAGUCUGCUGUCAAAGACCGGGGCUUAACUUCGGAAAGGCAGUGGAAACUGAACAGCUAGAGUAUGGUAGGGGCAGAGGGAAUUCCUGGUGUAGCGGUGAAAUGCGUAGAGAUCAGGAAGAACAUCGGUGGCGAAGGCGGCUCACUGGACCGGAACUGACGCUGAUGCGCGAAAGCGUGGGGAGCAAACGGG
rnacentral:rRNA from 1 species